UAGACCACGUGAAACAGAUCGAUAACGUUA
rnacentral:piRNA from 1 species